ACGACAAUAUUCGGACCGUCGGUCUCCCGAGCAAUAUCACCCACUCGGUGGCAGAUCUUCCCUUUGUCGUUAAAU
rnacentral:pre_miRNA from 1 species